rnacentral:rRNA from 1 species
GACGAACGCUGGCGGCGUGCUUAACACAUGCAAGUCGAACGGAAAGGCCCCUUUGGGGGUUCUCGCGUGGCGAACGGGUGAUUAACACGUGAGUAACCUGCCCUUGACUUCGGGAUAACUUCAGGAGACUGGGGCUAAUACCGGAUAGGUAUCCUUGCUGCAUGGUGGUGGUUGGAAAGCUUCGGCGGUUUUGGAUGGACUCGCGGGUUAUCAGCUUGUUGGUGGGGUAGUUGCUUACUAAGGCUUUGACGGGUAGCCGGCCUGGGAGGGGGACCGGCCACCUUGGGACUGAGAUACGGCGCAGACGCCUACGGGAGGCAGCAGUGGAGAAUAUGGCACAAUGGGCGGAAGCCUGAUGCAGCAACGCCGCGUGCGGGAUGACGGCCUUCGGGUUGUAAACCGCUUUCAGCAGGGGCGAAGCUUGUGGUGACGGUACCUGCAGAAGAAGCACCGGCUAACUACGUG